ACUGUAAAAUGCUGAACUUUAACCCCGAUUCGAGAAAAGGUUUAAAUAAUUUUAAGCAUCGUCUCUUUUGCCAUCACAAAACCCUGCACGAAAAACCCAGCUGCUCUAUGUUUCGAUUCUUACUAUUUUUCCUUUUUGAAUCAACUUAACCCAAAAAAUGCACACCAACUCCCUGCUACCAAUACCACAACCCUCAAGUUCUUUGCUGCCACUGCAAAUUGUGUUUGCUCAGAGAAUGUGACAGCAAAAGUACGGCAAAAACAAAACAUUGCUGUUCGGCGCAAUUGUCACAAAGAACUGCCAUUCUUAUGUCCGUGGUCAUCAGUAAACCGUCGACAUAUUCCACGUAAAUCAUCCCAAAGAAGCGCUGUCUUACGACCGAAGGGUAUAUUAUUUAUAUCAGCCCCACCCCCCAUCCCUCGUCAAUGUGGUGUCCUUCUCCUCAUCGAAGACGAAGAAAGUGCCCCAGACCAAAUAUCUUUGGUUUACACACUCCAUGUUCAUGGCUGAGGUUAAGGUGCCACAAACCCCAAUUCGGGAUGGUUGCAGACACCGACAUCGACGAUGGCGUGGCGAUGACGAUGACGUGACGACGCUAGCAAAAACAUUCACAGUAAACGUCAUUAGCGUCAGCCAGAACUUUUUGGUGGCAAAUAUAAAAUUGUUAAUGGCAAAUGUCAAACACUCGUCAAAUCGCUUUCACGCCACGCGACAGAACAUUACAGAUGUAACGAAUAACGUCAAUAGUACAAUCAGUUAAAAUGUUAUUAUUACCACAAUCGAUAAGGCCUCCGCGUAAAAAUAAUCACUAAAAAGUCCGGUAAACUCGACAAAAGCUGCAAUUCAUUGAAACAUAGCAACAUAUAGCAUAGCCCGUUGGAAGCAUGUAUUGUUCCCGGAAUUCCCCCAAGAUCGCACAGACACAGGCCAUUCGGUUUGCCAAAUUAGGAUUAAACGGAUUUUAAUGAUCGCUCGAAUUGUUGUGCUCUCCGAACACCAAGUGCCAUCAUAAAUGAUUUAACGCCUUGGCAAUAAUUAGACCAAUUCUCCGCGAACUAAAUUUCCGAUGGUCCGGUUCCAUUAAUGCUGAAAAGUUCUAUCAUGUUCGGCAAUACUGGAGAACAGUAAAUGCAGGCCGUUUUGAAUGAAUUUCAUAACGCCUACCUGCCGCUGGUUGUUGUGUGUUAAAUGUACGCGUCUACGGGUGUAGGACUAACUAAGGGUUUCCCUCAUUAAUGAGCCGCAUUUUUACAACAUUUCCCGGAAUAAUUUCAUUCAAUUAUGGUGUCGUGACGAGUACCUGGUUAAAGAUUUCGGUGGUGAAAUGAAUGAAUAAUUUAACGGAAGUUAUUAACUAAAGUUAAUCCAACUAACUAACCAAAAUAUCGGACAGGCAGAAUCCAGAUCCCGAGAUGUGAUAAAGCAUUACAGUCGAAUCUUUGCCGGGGUAUAUUUACCGGUGUAGUAGGAAUUACAAAACUGUCUAGACUGCAACGAAUUACAUAAUAGUUGAAAUCGACGAAUAAUUCCAAACGUGGAAAUAUAAUUGAUUAAUAAAUCAAGGCCUGGUUCGGGGAACGUAUCGGAAUAAUUCUGUCUGUAUGGCUAUUUUUACCGCUUAUCAUUUUUGCAUCCGUUAGAUUCGUCUCAACACAAAUUUUACGAAUGUAAAUAUUGAGUAUUCAUUAAAAACGCUGCUGUGAAAGAAGUAUUGAAGAAAAGUUAGCAACUUUAAUAUCAUGGACAAAUGCAGGCGGACUUUAAAUAAAGACAUCACGAACAUUGUGGAUCACUUCUUGAAGAUGAAAUAAUCAAAUAAAAUCGGAAACAUCAUAGGUAUUCGGAAAAAUUUAAACUAAAAUUCCAAAAAAGAUAUCUCUGGAUAUUCUUCUACGAGGCUUCGUUAAAGGAGAUCAAAUACGAUAAAUAUUGUAUAUUACUGAAGACCACUAGAAUAGGGCGGAAUUCAAUCAUCCCCGUUUCCCAAAUAUCCCUACUGAACAAACCAACGCACACGUUUUUACGCGCCAAAAUAACUCUGAAGGAGGCAGGACAGGAACAUUCGUUUUGGUUUUUUGAAUAAGUCCAUUUUAUGCACUGGUUCAACUUGAAAAAGCCAAGAUUUAAAAAUUCUUACACAGUUCUUUCUUUGAUUAUUGCGCUCUGAAUCCUUAAGGAUUAUUUAAGAGUCAAAAAUAUAUGUUCAUAUUGAAUUCCUUCUUUUUUUAAACGAGACAAGUCAAUGUUUUUGGACACAUAAUAAUAAAAUAAAGAAUAAUGUCUUGAAGGGAUAAAAGACCGGCUUUAGGUUCAAUUUAUAUAAACAAGUUGCGUUCUAUAAGCACAAGAUAAUUCUAACGUAUAUCUAAAUCGACUCGGGAUUGUUCAGAACAAAUUAUAAGGUAUCAGUCGGCUUUGCCGAAAUAUUUUUACCCUCCGCCAGUGUCCGUUAUUUAAAAUAAAUUUUGACUUUCGUUAUGAUUAUUAAAAUGUUCAUCCCUUAUUGGGAUGGUACUACUGUAGGAGUGUGCCAAUAUUUUCCAUUUCGAAUCGGGCCUAAGUCAGAUAUAAAUAUUACAACGUCCCAAAUUUGUACUAUACCGACUAUUUCCUUUAUAUGCAUUUUCGUAAAAUGUUGAAAUAGUCCUGCAGUUCCAGAUAUAGUCAACCGAUGUAUUAAUUUCCUCUAAUAGUUAUAUAAUAGUGAUAUAAAUUUUAAAGAACAUCGAACAAUUAUUUCCAAUUUUAUGCGAAUAUUUGUUAAUCAAAUGUUGACAUUUUCUGGGGAAGGAACAGAUAGAGUGGCCGAUAUAUUCCAUAUUCACUUUAGAUCUCUUAUUGAGGAAAACAUGAGAAAAAUAAAUAUUACAAAUUUUUGACCCUUUGGGAAGGAGGUACCAGAAAGGGUGUAUCGAUUUGCGUCAUCCAUUAGUGAAAAUAUUAGGUAUGUGAACUUUAAAGAGAAUUUACUAGAAAUACUACAAUCCUCACAACAGAUCAUGUGUUAAUAUAAAUCUUGAGAUGUGUGAAAUUUUAUCGGAAUGAGAAGAAUGAACCGGAUCCUUUUUCACAUUUUAUGAGUGUUUCGGUUUUUCAAAAUGUUAACCAUUUGUAGGGGAGGUAUCAGAAGGAGUGGCCCAAUAUAUCCCAUCUUCGAAUCAAAUCUUGUAUUUAUAAAAAUAUUGAGGCGCGUAAAAUUUGAUAACAUUCGGAUGCUUAUUUCGCUUUAUGGGAGGUAUAAAUAUAUUGGGGAAGGUACCUGAGGUACCUUGUGGGGGAGGUACCUGAAGGAGUGUACCGAUAUAUUUCGCCUUUUCAUCAGAUCUUGUGUGGAUAGAAAUAUUGAGAUAUACCGAGUUUGAAAGGUAUCGGGUGCUAAUCUACAAGCUUCAUGGCUAUUCCAAAUUCUGACCCGUUGUGGGGGAGGUACUAUAGAAGUGGAGCGCAAUAACCCAUCUUCACAUCAGAUCUUGUGUCAGAAAACAUAAUGUAUUGGGAUUUGAAGCAAUCGGACUGUAAUUUCAUAUUUUUUAAGAGUUAUAAUUAUUACGAAUUGUUGCCCUUUGUGGGGGUACUUGAUGGAGUGGGCCGAUAUUGUUAAUUUUUGAGCCUAUCUUUUUUAAGGUAAAUUAUUUUCUUUGAAAAAUUCAAUUUUUUGUGGAGGAGGGAUUGGAAGGAGUGGACCGAUGUUUUUCAUCACCGAACUCGAUCUAAGUUUGAUAAUGAUACUAUCGUGCGCACCAACCAGACAGGCAAACGGACAUCGCUAGAUCGAAUCCAAAUGUCCUGAACAGGAUUUGGUCCAAAGAAACCUAGGGUGGAAACCCAUUAGAGAAACAUACCCAUUCUAGUCUUAAAUUUCCAUAAACUCAAAAUAUCGGUUUUAAAAAACAUUUUCAAUUUUAAAUGCGUAAUAUACUGAGUCUGAGUGAGAUACACUUAGUACCCAAUUUAUUAUAUCCAUAUAUACUUUCGUCAGGGCAAUAGGAUCCUACCGAACAGACUUCCUCCUCUCAAGACAUAGAUUAUAUGUAAAUAUUCCACAAAAUGUUAAGGAAAACAACACUGAUGCCAAGGUGAAUGUAUUACUUGCAUCAUUUCACAAAUUAUUCAGGGGGCAGAGACGUGGUCCGAAAUAGAAAUAAAAUAACUUAACCACUGUGCUUUACCAUAGCUUCAAUGUGGAAUAAUACUAUCGAUCGAACGUCUAGAUCAACAACAAACACACACAGACGCCCUAACAAGAAUAAAUAAUUUAUUAAUAAUAAUUAAAUGAUCACUAAUGGCUGCCGCUAAUUGGUUGUACUGCUGUCGUUCUGCAGCUCCAUCUUCUGCUGCUCAGAGGCUCCAAUCGCUUGUUUCUGUUUUUAUUUAUGUGAACAUAUAAAGCAAAUAAAUCGAAGUGUUGAACAACCAAAAAAUCAAAAACGCAAACAAAUGUCGUAAAACAAAGCUACGGAAUAUUUAUGACGCCGUGAUCGCAACAGCCCUCAGUUGUAGAUGAUGAAUGUUUGUUUUAUUUUAAAUUGGGUAAAAUUUCCAAAGUCACACAAGCCACAAUCCAACACAAAUUUGAUGUAUUUGACUUGCUAUGCAGGGAGUGUAAAUUGAAAAUGUUCGAAUACUACCAAUUUCGAUUUAAUUGCAAUAAACGAAGAAAUAUUCACGGCGCUAAGUUAAUCAGCCGGAACAGUCAAUGUUUUAAAAGAAUUGACGCGCUAUUCGGACCGCCCUCGCAGAAAAUUAUUGCUUGAAACUAUUAAGUAUUUUAGUAACGAUAAGCGACUACUCCCUAUUAAUGUCAAACAGAGAUGUUCAACAUUAUACGAAUGGAGAGGAUGGUUAUUGGCAGGAAAACAAGUAACUUUCGAAUUUAUUUUUUCUUUUGUUUCCCACACUUCUUUAAUAUAUAUAUCAUUAUAUUCAAUUUGCUAUUACUGCCGCCGAGUAUUUGCAUAAUUAUAAAUAUACCUAACACAUCAUUUGUUCCGUUUGUAGUAAAUUAUGUACCUUGUUUGAUAGUACAACAACAAUCUCCAUUUGAAAUUCAGAUAAUUUCUUUGAAAUUCAUAUAUUGUGUUUCAGUAUAUGUAUAAAGUUCACAAAAUAUAAUUUGUAAUUCAGACAUUACAUUUGAAAUUCGGAAAUUUUAUUUGAUACUCAUAAUUUCUCAAUUGAAAUUCAGAAUUCCUAUUUGGAAUUGGGAAUCUUUUCUUUUUUUAUCAAAUUCAGAAUAUUACAUUUCUAACGAUUUGGACAAACCUUACAACUCAAAGCUUUGCGCCAUUUGUGUCUAAAAGACACAUAGACCCUUGAUUUUUUAUAUCCAUCUACCACUCACAGUGCUCUAAUGUUUGUAUACCCUCUACAUUUAGUAACUCUUUUUUUACCUUUUUUGAUGUGGAUGAUGCCUUACAAGGGUCGUUCUCUGGAAGUAGUAUUUAUUUCGAACUUAUUGUGAUUAAGCAUAUGCGAAUUAAACACCAGAACCCCUCCAAGUUCGAUUAAUGUUCCAUCAGCAAAUCUUUUUCACAGAAAAUUUUUGAUGGAGUUUUUGUGCACAACAACUACAUUGCUUCCAAUGCAUACAUUUGCAAUGAAAUAGUCGAUAUAGGUUCUGUAUAACGGAACCUUCAUUCGGUCCAGGCGAACUUAAAAAAUGUUUACCUUUUUUUAAGAAAAAAAAAAAACUAUUUAUUAAAAUAGAGAAACCUUGAAAUAAUAAAAACUUUACUAUCAGAUGUAACGACUGAAAGAAGAGUUAAAAAAGAAUUUUAUUCACCAUGUUUCAUCAUAAAUUCGGUCGGGCGCAGUGAAAUUGACCUUUCAAAACCCCAAUUAAACUAUAACUUGGUAAGGACAACGAUUUUAAAUUAAAAAAAUGCCCUAUUUUAACUUAAGAAUACUGCGAAGAAAAAAGGCGUUUGAAAUGUCUUAUGAAUAGGACACAGUGUACAUGUUAGAAUUGGUAAAUAAAAUUGUUCCUGAUAACUACAGAAAAAACAAGGCUGUUGCGACAUCUAUCAUACAUACGAAUUGUCCGCUUGGAGUCUUUUGUUUUUAUUUUUUAUAUUUGCGGUCAAGAGACAAAUACCAAGAAAUGCUAUUGGACUUUAAAGACAACUGUGAAUGUAGGCAUUAUUACAAAAAAUGGCUGAGAAUAUUCGCCAGACCAUUGUUUUUUCCUUCAAAUCCUGUACGUACAGUGAUUCAAAUUAUUUAAAGAGUAUUGUUUGUCUUUUUAUGUAAAUGCUGAGAUCUGCCCUACAAAGUGUUCGAAUGUUAAGAAAUCACAGACAAAAAUAUUUACUUUAAUUUGUGAAUUUGAAAUGCGGGCGGAGGAGUGGCGGUGUCUGCAGUCGUGUUGGAGACAUUUUCCUAUAAAUCGAUAAAUGCCAUCGACUAGUUAGAAGUGCGCAGAUGCCAGACAGAGUGUUGCUGGUAAGUGGUGGCAAGUGUAGAGAGCUCGUGUAUUUGUAACCCAUAAAAAAAUCUUCAGCAUUGAAAUGCCAACAAAUUCAUCUAUUACAAUUGAAAGAAAACUUAAAAACAUAGCCAUGAAAUUGAGCUAAGGAUAUGUUUAUGAUUGAAAAUAAAUGAAAGUGUCUAAGAAUGUUCCACUCCCGUCGCUUUUUGAUUGGGAAAAUUCUACAAGAAGCCAUCGGGCCUUUAAGUUGAAAAUAAAAUACGCAAUGCAACCAAAAUUUGUGAUGCUAUUUUAUAGUUAAUUGAUUUAUCUGUCCAAUUGUAUGGCCCAUCUCAUAUAUAUAUAUAUCUUGAUCCGAUUUCACACUAUUCUGCCCCAAUUCGUGUUUGGCAUAUGCCGCUUAAUUCCCCCAAAAAUUAAGUCAAACAUGGACAUAUAGUCACAUCGACUCAGUUCGAUCAGAUUUGAUGGUAAAAUAUAGUUAAUGUAUUAAAAAAACAGAUGUGAAAUAGUUAGAAGUUUACAAUCUAUUCAUAUCGGUAACAUUUUGUAAAAAUUAUUGGGUUGUAACAAACACACACACCUACGAAGUCUUUUAAGAUAUACCCUCAUAAUUUCUUAAUCGCGCGUCCUGUACAUGUUUCUCAAAGUUGAUCUUCGAUAUCACGUCUAAGAUCCAAAAAUCAGGUAAAAAUAUUCUCUUAAUUCUCCAUAUGCAAGCAAUUUUCCAAUGCGGACAUGACGGUAGCAUUCAGGCUCCUCCUAGUAUAGACUUAUCGUUAAAUUGUUUUUAAGACAGCUCAAGUGGAUCAUUGAUUUUUGUUAGCUUUUUAUAUUCUUUCAAAGUGUGGCAAAAUUGAUCGGCGUCUUCGUCAAACGGAGUGUAAGACUGCGGGGAUGACACUGAUUUCGAUGUAAACCUUCUGGGAGUUCACAGUUAAAAGAGAAGAACAAAGCCAAACUCUACAGAGAAUAACCAAAAACUGAAAACAAGCGAUUUCCGUAAACGUUGUCAUUCCAGACUUUAUUUCAGGAAUAGUUCCGCCGAAAUCUUUAAUUAAGUCUUAGUCUUAAAAAUGCUAUCUGUGUCAUUUAAAGCGGCUAUGUAAAAACAUGCAUGUUAUUGGCGAUUUCGGGUACUUAAAUACCAUGUUUCGAGGCGAACAACAAUGUGUUUGUGUUAAACGAAUUGAGUAAAAUUACAGAUAUUUGCCACAUCCCGCUUUGAUAAUAUGCAUCCUAAGAUAAUAAAACAUUCCACUUGACUCCGUUGCCGGUGUCCUGGUGAGGAGGAAAACAGAAACCGAGAUAAGAUACUGAACUGCCACAAACAGAGAUAAGUUUUUAUAUCGGGAGGAUUAUUGUAAAUAUCUCGGCAUAUUGUAGGAGAAUCAACGGUCAUAACCUCUACGAGUCCGCAGACAGGUACCCAACAGAAACAACAACAUAGUCGACUGUUGAUGAGCCGUAAAGUUGUCAACUUACAGCAGAUAACAGUGACACAGAUGUAUUCAUUGCGAGCUGAUGGGCCAUAAACACAAUCUGAUAACCACAGAGUGACGAUGAUUACGACGACAUGAAAGAUUAUUCCUAAGAUGAUGAAUGUCCCGCUCAGAAUAUAAAAAUAAAAUGCAUUAUUAAUUUGCGACUGACAAAAUGA